UACGUAGGAGGCAAGCGUUGUCCGGAAUUACUGGGCGUAAAGCGCGUGUAGGUGGUGGGACAAGUCUGCUGUGAAAGCGCCUGGCUUAACCGGGCGAGGUCGGCGGAAACUGUCCGAGCUCGAGGACGGGUAGAGGGGGUCGGAAUUCCCGGUGUAGUGGUAGAAAUGCGUAGAUAGUCGGGAGGAACAUCAGUGGCGCAAGCGGCGCCCUGGCCUUAGCCUGACGCUCAGGGGCGAAAGCGUGGGGAGCGAACGGG
rnacentral:rRNA from 1 species